rnacentral:rRNA from 1 species
CGGCCGCGUCGACAACACAUGCAAGUCGAACGAUGAAGCUGGAGCUUGCUCUGGUGGAUUAGUGGCGAACGGGUGAGUAACACGUGAGUAACCUGCCCUUGACUCUGGGAUAAGCGUUGGAAACGACGUCUAAUACCGGAUACGAGCUUCAGCCGCAUGGCUAGGAGUUGGAAAGAAUUUCGGUCAAGGAUGGACUCGCGGCCUAUCAGCUAGUUGGUGAGGUAAUGGCUCACCAAGGCGACGACGGGUAGCCGGCCUGAGAGGGUGACCGGCCACACUGGGACUGAGACACGGCCCAGACUCCUACGGGAGGCAGCAGUGGGGAAUAUUGCACAAUGGGCGCAAGCCUGAUGCAGCAACGCCGCGUGAGGGAUGACGGCCUUCGGUUGUAAACCUCUUUCAGUAGGGAGAAGCGAAAGUGACGGUACCUGCAGAAGAAGCACGGCUAACUACGUGCCAGCAGCCGCGGUAAUACGUAGGUGCGAGCGUAUCCGGAGUAUGGCGUAAGAGCUCGAGUUCGG